rnacentral:misc_RNA from 1 species
GACGUUGCGGAUCGCAAGGUCUAUGUCUGUGAGAACCCUAAUCUCGUGGCCAUCGCUGCGGAUCACUGGGGUGCCAGUUGUGAGCCGCUGGUCUGCACUGACGGAAUGCCCGCCGCGGCGCAGCGGUGCCUGUUAUCGCAAUUGGNCGGGUGCGAAGCUUUUCUAUCACGGCGAUUUCGAUUGGGCGGGGGUACAAAUCGGCAACCA